AAACAGUUCCCAGGCACAGAAAGGGGGAGGUAAACCUAACUCAAACUGUGCCCUCUCAUCAAAGCCUAAAUGCCCGCUAACGUGAUCCCAGUAGCUCUUAGGCAGGGAGGGCAAGAGAACACGAACACGCUCUCAAACCAACAGGUGGCCCUGUGGGCAGGGCUAGUCUUCCUGGGAGUCUAACGCCAUUGACACCUGAAGAAAACUAUCUUCCCAGUCAUGAGAACUCGGGGUGUCGAUUGAGCAGCCUCUCCUCAACAAUGGAGAUUUUUCAGAAAAGUGAGUCUGGUUUAAGGGACACAAAUCCCACAGAGUUUCUUGGCACAAUGUUUCAGUAAGCAUGAGUGAGACCCAAAAACGUCCAAUGAGAGACCAACAGGCCCCUGACCUAAGUCAGAGCUAGACUGCAGAACUCUCAGCCCAGCUCUGCAGCAGACAUCUGCGUCAUCCUCCCAGAAAUUCAACUCAGGCCACACUUCUGGCAAAAGAAGUUUCACCCUGACUGUCCUUGUUUUCAGUCAGCUGGGCUCAGUGGGAUCUAAAAACCUGGGACAGAGUGUAGAUCCAGUAGAGGAGCCCAGGCCUCUCCUCCACGCACCCCUCACUGGCACCCCUCACCAUCUCCCAUACAUUCCCUAUGGUGCAGCCUCUCAGUCCUAGCACUAAGCUCAAAAUACAGAUAAGAGAACAAACAGUGCAAAAAGCAAAAGGUGAACAACAGAGUAAUUCUUGACACAUACAAUACAAAAAUAAAAAUAAAGAAUCCCACCCCUUUAACCUAAACUUCAUGUACCUAUAUCUUGGAGGAGCCACAAAACAAAAACAAAAACAAAAAAACUUUCAAGCUACAAUUCUCAAACGACUAAAUGCUGGCCUGGAGUAAUCAUUAAAGAGCCAAAACCCAGGACAUGAGCCCAAGAGCUACCUAUUUUGUCACAUAAGGAGCAGUUCAAAUAUACAGAGCUCUUAAAAAACAUAUCUAAUAAAGCAAACUCAAAAUUAAACACAUUCUAGAAAAGCGGGCCUGGCCUGAGAUCCUAUAUUGACUGCUCCAGCCCAAGCUGAAGCUAAUCCUGCUGUCUCCCAUCCACAAAAUUCCUUCUAGCUUGGCUGGGUCCUCCUUCAUUGUUGCCCUAACUGGGAAAUGGAUGACAAUGGCCAGAAAGGAGGGGACCAGGGAAGCUUCAUUUCCUAUAGAAAUUUUUUCAGGGAAUUCAAGAUCGACACUUAGAUGCUAAGGUUAGCUUCAGAGCUGCCAAGGCUCUGGCUGACUGGAAUUCUUUCAGUCCCAUCACACCAAGAACCUGACUGCUACUUGGAUAGAGAAAUGAAAGGACAGGGGAAGGAGGGGCAUACUAUUAAGAUCAAUAAGAAGCAUCGCUGGGCCUAUAUAGCUAAUUAGUCUAGUUCCUUGAAGUAGCUCUAGGCAUAAACCAAAACUGGCUGAACUGUGACACACAAGAACAUGGGAAUAAAUGAACAUCAGAUACCAGACACUCUAAACAGUGGUCAGUCACUUAGUAGGGCUCAAAUCUCUGAGGUUGCUCUUAAGCUAUGCUAACAUAAGCCUUUUCUAAUCCAAAGACCAGAAGAGACUUUUAAGGUCAAGUGUUCUGUUGCUGCAGGCUGGAAAGCAUCCCUGCCCCCUGGCAGCAAGGCCCUACAAAGGGGCCAGUAAAGAACUGCUGGGUCAGGUCCUCCUGGCUGCUGGCUCAGAGAUCCAGGGAGGGAGGUACCAACAAGGUGAGGUGGUAAAGGAGAAGACAUUCAAGCAGAGAACCCCAAAUCCCCGUGUCUCCUUCCCUUCUUGGCUAUAACUUAGUGGGAUGGUUGAGAGGGAGAAGAAAUUUCAAAUGAGCCAGAUUAAGGAAACAAACAAACAAACAAAACUGAGAAGAAAUCAAGUCCCCAACAGGCACUGAAAUCAAAAUGAUUUGUUGUGGUAACAAGUCAGAGGCGAUCUGAGGACCCGACAUAACCGAAACGUCUUGGAUGCUGGACAGUCUAUAACUGGCACAUGCCAGGGAGACAAGCAAUGACAAAGCUCAAACACUAAAGGUGGGACCAUCACUGGAUUAAUCCAGAAAGGCUUCCAGAUAAGGAAGCAUUUUCUUUCUUUUUUUUUAAUCUCCCUACUUUUUUUUUUAAGUCUUUACCGCACAAAUUCUACCCCUUCACACACAUUCUUUCAAUCCCAGGACGUCUGAAGUCUUAUCUAGACAUAACUUCAGACCGUACCUAACUCCCAGUGCUGGUCGUCUCAGGUAAUAAGAUGGCAUUUCCCUGCUGUUAAUUUCUAACCUAAAAAAAGGAACAGUGACUCCUCUGAGUUCAGAGUCCUUUCCACUAGGUAUACAAAUGA
rnacentral:lncRNA from 1 species